rnacentral:rRNA from 1 species
GAUGAACGCUGGCGGCGUGCCUAAUACAUGCAAGUCGAGCGAACGGACGAGAAGCUUGCUUCUCUGAUGUUAGCGGCGGACGGGUGAGUAACACGUGGAUAACCUACCUAUAAGACUGGGAUAACUUCGGGAAACCGGAGCUAAUACCGGAUAAUAUUUUGAACCGCAUGGUUCAAAAGUGAAAGACGGUCUUGCUGUCACUUAUAGAUGGAUCCGCGCUGCAUUAGCUAGUUGGUAAGGUAACGGCUUACCAAGGCAACGAUGCAUAGCCGACCUGAGAGGGGGAUCGGCCACACUGGAACUGAGACACGGUCCAGACUCCUACGGGAGGCAGCAGUAGGGAAUGUUCCGCAAUGGGCGAAAGCCUGACGGAGCAACGCCGCGUGAGUGAUGAAGGUCUUCGGAUCGUAAAACUCUGUUAUUAGGGAAGAACAUAUGUGUAAGUAACUGUGCACAUCUUGACGGUACCUAAUCAGAAAGCCACGGCUAACUACGUG